rnacentral:rRNA from 1 species
AGAGUUUGAUCCUGGCUCAGGAUGAACGCUGGCGGCGUGCCUAAUACAUGCAAGUCGAACGCACAGCGAAAGGUGCUUGCACCUUUCAAGUGAGUGGCGAACGGGUGAGUAACACGUGGACAACCUGCCUCAAGGCUGGGGAUAACAUUUGGAAACAGAUGCUAAUACCGAAUAAAACUUAGUGUCGCAUGACACAAAGUUAAAAGGCGCUUCGGCGUCACCUAGAGAUGGAUCCGCGGUGCAUUAGUUAGUUGGUGGGGUAAAGGCCUACCAAGACAAUGAUGCAUAGCCGAGUUGAGAGACUGAUCGGCCACAUUGGGACUGAGACACGGCCCAAACUCCUACGGGAGGCUGCAGUAGGGAAUCUUCCACAAUGGGCGAAAGCCUGAUGGAGCAACGCCGCGUGUGUGAUGAAGGCUUUCGGGUCGUAAAGCACUGUUGUAUGGGAAGAACAGCUAGAAUAGGAAAUGAUUUUAGUUUGACGGUACCAUACCAGAAAGGGACGGCUAAAUACGUGCCAGCAGCCGCGGUAAUACGUAUGUCCCGAGCGUUAUCCGGAUUUAUUGGGCGUAAAGC